AUGGGGUAUUAGCGGGAAUCUUCGCGUUGUUCGGUUGAUUUUUAUCGAAAUAUAUAUAAAAAGACAGAAACUGACAUACAAAACAAGAACUCUUCUUCCAUUCCAUUCACCCCCAGUUUGUGCGCUCGGCAUAUCAAUGCGCGCAGAAGAGAGAUAAUGGGACAGCAAAACCGUGCCGUAAAACACACCAAAUAACUCAUACAACACAAAAGAUUAUUUGUCACUUUGGAAAUUAAUUCAGUAUUGCUGAAAACCGCGUUGAAACAAGUACUGCUGAAGGAGUAAGAACACUUAGAACAAGAGAACUAGUUUGUGUAACGGUGCGGCGAAUUUAUUUCACUUUGCCUAAGGAACGGUUGUAGUGCGUCCUCCAUUGCCUAGGGAAAAGCCCCGGAUGUAAACUCAGUGAAACUCAUGUUGAGUGAAGUUACUCUGUGCACCCAGCGUGGGGCAGAGAUAUUACAAAGACAACAGAGACGAUUUAUGCUAUACGCGCCUUUGCCUCCUAAACUGGUCCACGAUCUCUGUCAUCAGCACCACUGAGUCAUCGCAGUACGCUUUGAAUUAUCCAUCUGCAUGGAGGAAUAAGAAAACACUUGGUCUGAAAGCAUAAUGAGUUUAGAUUGGCUAUCCAGCAUAGGCAUUAGCCUAUAUAAUCCACAAAAUCACUGGAGUAAGACACAGUGAGAGAUCAGCUAUCACUAAAUGACUCAUGCCUCUCAUCUCUUGUGUCAUUGGACCUCACUGAGCUGCUUUCUCUUUAGCUGAUUGUGAUUGGCUGUUACGUCUGUGAUCCUUAUAAAAAUCAUAGAUUAAAGUAUGGAAUUGGACGUGUCUAAUCUAAGAUGAAUGAACUAAUCAAGACCCUAUUUAUCAGGAAUCCUAUGCUUCAAGAGAUUGAGUCAGACAUCCUCUUUGUCAACAUAUGUUUAUGUAGACUAAAGAUCAAAGGAGACUUUCUCUGUUAAUCAAAGAGCAUGUAAACAGGUACUUAGCAUCUUGUUUACAAAUAAGCCAUUGUGAAAAGCAUUCUGAAAGCAUCCAAUGUUAAGCGUUAUACAAAAAUAGACACUUUUAACUAUAGGCAAAAACGGCAUGACAUCAUCAUCAGUAAAGCAGAAUUGUUUAACAUCCAAUGCGUUUCCAGAGAUGCUAAAAUUAUCGCUGAUCCAAUUGACUCGGCACAUGAUUGGUUAAACUGAGAACAUGUUUAAUUAAAGAACUGCAUUUUUCCAAUAACUGUCAGGAUUUUUCUAUCUCUGAUCUGUCUGUACUGAACACCGGUUCAAUUACAUUAUAUUGCACAGUAUUGGAUAUUAAAUAGCAUGCUGCAUGCGAAUUUUUAUUUAUGCAAUUUCCAUUCUGUUGCCAGCAGCUGUGUGGCAAUAACGUUUUUGUUCUCUAUCGUACAUACUUU